CCCAGAUUUCCCCUCAUCUCUCAGAAAUGCUUAGCAAAUAUGUCCAUUGCUUGUUGAAAAGAUGGGCUUGGUGCUCGUUUACGAUGGUUACUGUGCACAUAAAUAGGACUUUCUUCUGAGAUGCCUGUGUGUCCUCCGAGCAGGGGAUCCAGAAAAUGCGCUGCAGUACAAUGACUGAUUUUAGAGAUGCAACCCGUCUAGGGCCAGGAGGGAACUCGAUUAUAUUUCUAAGGCGACUGGGAUGACUGUUUAAAACAAGAAUUCACAGUUAUAGAAAUCUUCGAAAUGAAAUGAAAUGAAAUGAAAUAAAGCCAUUGAAUUUAGCACUCACGGUUCCGUAGAAAGUCCUGUGUGUGGCCUUGGGCAUCAGAAAACUUCACAGGGAGAUCCUAGGGGUGCUAAAGCACCGGGCCCACUACCCUUGCCUGUCUCGAUUGUUGGGACUCUUAGGCAGGCCAGACUCCACCAGCCGCCGGCCCAGAGAAAGAGUUUGCGGUGGAGAACCACAGAAGGCCCAGCCACGGCGCUAGCAAACUGGUAA
rnacentral:lncRNA from 12 species